CAGCACCUCAAGUGGUCAGGAUGAUUAUUGGGCCUAAAGCAUCCGUAGCCGGCGCUGUAAGUUUUCGGUUAAAUCUGUACGCUCAACGUACAGGCUGCCGGGAAUACUGCAGCGCUAGGGAGUGGGAGAGGUAGACGGUACUCGGUAGGAAGGGGUAAAAUCCUUUGAUCUAUUGAUGACCACCUGUGGCGAAGGCGGUCUACCAGAACACGUCCGACGGUGAGGGACGAAAGCCAGGGGAGCAAACCGGAUUAGAUACCCGAGUAGUCC
rnacentral:rRNA from 1 species